UACGUAGGGUGCAAGCGUUAAUCUGAAUUACUGGGCGUAAAGCGUGCGCAGGCGGUUUUGUAAGUCUGUCGUGAAAUCCCCGGGCUUAACCUGGGAAUUGCGAUGGAGACUGCAAGGCUAGAAUCUGGCAGAGGGGGGUAGAAUUCCACGUGUAGCAGUGAAAUGCGUAGAUAUGCGGAGGAACACCGAUGGCGAAGGCAAUCCCCUGGACCUGUACUGACGCUCAUGCACGAAAGCGUGGGGAGCAAACAGG
rnacentral:rRNA from 1 species